GUCCUGGAACUCACCUUGUAGACUAGGCUGGCCUCAAAGUCAGAGAUCUGCCUGCCUUUGCUUUCCAAGUGCUGGGAUUAAAGGCUACCACUGCCUGGCUUCUUUGUUUUCAAUAUUUUUAUAAACACAAUUUGUCUAUGAUAUGUAUGUAUAUUGAAAAAUAUAUUUUAACUACUGUUGUAGUGCUGUGAAGAGGCACCAUGACCAAAGCAACUCAUAAAAGAGCAUUUAUUUGAGGGCUUGUUUACAGCUUAGGUUAGGGGAUAGACAGACAUGUACUUAACCAUGUAACUUCUUACAGAGCUCUUGAAUACAAUUUGCAGCACCCACAUGGUUGUAACUUUAAUUUUUUCAAACCUUAUUUUUAAUAAUAGGUCUCCUUUCCUUUCUUUCUUUCUUUCUUUCUUUCUUUCUUUCUUUCUUUCUUUCUUUCUUUCUUUCUUUCGGUUUUUCAAGACAGGGUUUCUCUGUGUAGCCUUGGCUGUCCUGGAACUCACUCUGUAGACCAGGCUGGCCUCGAACUCAGAAAUCUGCCUGCCUCCCAAGUGAUGGGAUUAAAGGUGUGUACCACCACUGCCCGGCAUUAAUGAUGGUUCUUAAACACUUUAACCUCCCUGGUAGCCCACCACCCACCAGAGAUAGUGGAAAAGAAAGGAUAUGGAGGUGGGGGUGGGGGUGAGGGAAGUAGACCUGUUUAGAAAGGUUCUUUGGAACUCACAAACACUUCACAGAUUCACCAGCAGUCCAGUUCAGUAGAGUCGGGUUAGCAGUAGCAGUGACAUGACUUAGCAGAGACAGCUAGGCCUCAGCCUUGGUUUGAGUCAGCAGGAGGAACCAGCAGGAACUCCAGGAGAAAGAAGUUCUCAGCUGUGUCUCUUUCUGGGAAGCGAAGAUCAGUGAGGACCUACAAGCGUUGCACAGCUAGCUGUGCCAGCAAGCCAAGUUCCGUCUCCAUCCCUUUGUGGAGUCCUAUUUAUACCCUCCAAACAUCACGUUUCUUCCACGUGCCUUCUUUCAGCGCAGGCCUUGCCUCAGCACACGCAUCCAAUCAGCCCCAGAUCAGGGAGUCCUAACAAACGCAGCUCAACUAUGCCAUGUAGGGUGGACCAAUACAUGCGUGUUGUUAGCAAAGAAUCCUUCAUCACCUGUCCUUUCAUGUGCUUGCUUUAGCGGAACAUGUCUCUCCUGUGUCUGCUUCAGUGGAAACGGUCCUUCAAGAGUUUACCUUAGCCUUUCACACCUGUGUCCACUUUAACAAAAUGUACCUUCAUGUUUUGCCCCAGCAAAACAUCACUCAGCUGAUUUCCCAAAGAACCCUUAUGUUUCCACUUCACAUGGUAGCUCACAACUAUCCAUAACUCUAAUUCCAGAGGAUCUGAUGUCCUUUUCUGACCUCACAGGUACUAGGUAAGAUACAAGGUACACAUGUGAUACACAUACAUACAUGCAGAUACUACCUCCCAUGACACAUAUGUGCACAGGUCCGUCCAUCCAUCCAUCAAUCCAUCCAUCCAUCUAUGCUGUCGACAGUUGGCUGCUCUUUUGCUUGCUUGCUUGUUUUCAGGGUUCUUCAGCCCACCAUCAGUUUCUGUAGUAUAGCAUCAUUUGCUGAGCACCCAGACCAGCCCUUCCCACUCUGGUACUCCAACAUUUGUUGGAGAUACAGUUUUUGACUUGUCUUCAGCUGGAGGCAUAAUUCGGGGGUAGAGCCUGGUAUGUGUUAAGCCUGGGUUCCAUCUACAGAAUCAGGAAAAAGAUGGCGAAUCAGGCUGAGUGGCCUGAUUAAAUGCAUCCAGGAACCAGCCACUGAAGAAGGCAAGCAAGCAAUCGUCCCUCUGGGGUUUGAUACAGAACUAUUUCAUAAUGACGUCCUCAGGGAGCAAAACCGUGAGGACACUAACAGCCCGGGGCCCUCCAGUCACCCUGAAGAGUAAGGAUUCUAGGUCAUUUUUAUUAAUAUCCUAUUCUAUUAAUACUCUGUACAUUUGCACAUACAGUUAAUCUUUGGACUUCACUUUCACAUUUUAGAGCAUCCUUCUCGCCUGUGGACCAGAUAAACAGGUCAGCGGGUCAACUCUUGAAUAGUAAGCAGAUCAAAGCUGUGGACCUAAUUAAAUGCAAAGGGUGCCACUGUGCCUGUCAUUUCUAGGACUUCGUUUGUGUGGGAUUGCCAUGCCAUGGUGGUACGAUAAAGGACAAGUUUCUGGGGUCUUUGACUGUCCAGGAGGCACCAAAAUGGCUUAGAGCAGUAGUUCUCACCCUUUAAUACAGUUCUUCAUGUUGUGGUGACCCUCAGCCAUACAGUUAUUUUCAUUGCUACUUCAUAACUGUAAUUUUGCUACUGUUAUGGACUGUAAUGUAAAUAUAUGAUGUACAAGUUAUCUGAUAUGUGACCUCUGUGAAAGAGUCAUUCGCCCCCAAAGUGGGUGAGACUCACAGGUUGAAAAACCACUGGCUUAGGCCCUGAUUUAUUUCCCUCCCUGAACUUUAAUGUCUGAUCAUAAGACAUUAAAGUGUUUGUUGGAAUAGACUGGACUCAUGCCGGACUCAUAAGUAGCUGAGGAGACACAAGAUAGGUAGAGAGACUGGUAAAGGGCAUGCAGAGGCAGCUGAUGUAUUCCUCAAGGAUGUACCAUAGAUGCAGAGGCACAGCAAAGGUAAGAAGGAGAUGAUUACAAGUAAGGAUUAGCACAGAGCUCAGGAGUGGGUCAAAGGGCUGUAUGCCCUCAAAUUGUAGGUCUAGGGACAUAGGUUACAUCAGAAGGAAGAGUGUGCUCUGCCGUAGGUAUUCACCGGGAAUUUAUUAAAGCUUUUGUGGUUUUUCCUUCAUUAAUAAUUAAUUUUUUUAGCCAGGCCUGGUGAUAUAUACAUGUAAUCCCAGCUACACAGGAGGCUGAGGCAGGAGAAUGGAAACUUCAAGGCCUGUAGGCUUCCGAGUGAGUUCAAGGCCAGCCUGGGCAAUUUAACAGGAUUGUCUCCAAAUAAAAAGUGAAAAACAGUGCUUGCCUUUAACCCCAGCACCUAGGAGGUAGGAGGGACGGGGUCUGUGGGUUCAAGGCAAGUCUGGUUUUCAUACAGAUUCCAGAAUAGUCAGGACUAUAGAGAGAGGCCCUGUCUCAAAACCAAAAAAAUGCUGGUAGUGUCAGUCAGUAGUAUAGUCCUUGCUUACCACGUGCAAGGGUCCUGGGUGCCCUUGUCUGUCUGUCUGUCUGUCUGUCUCUCACACACAUAUUCACACUUUUUUUUUUUUUAAAUUCUGAGGAUGAUACCCAGUUCUUCGCACACACUAGUAAGUACUCUGUCACUGAGAUCUCUGAUGCUUGAGCUCUGCCCAGUGUGGAACACAGUCUCCCUCUGGCUGGCUGCCAAUCAAGAUGUAGAACUCUCAGCUCCUCCAGCAUCCUGUCUGCCUGAACACUGCCAUGUUUCCUGCCAUGAUAAUGGCUUGAACCUCUGAAACUGUAAGCCAGCCCCAGUGAAAUGUUUUCCUUUAUAAGAGUUGCCUUGGUCAUGGUGUCUCUUCACAGCAAUAAAACCCUAACUAAGACAAGAAUCGAAGACACCAUUACAGGGACUCUACAUUGAAUGGCCCUUCCUUAGGGGUGGUCUUCUCCCUCCCAACAAAUCCCUCCAGCUCUGUUUUCUGAGGGACUCUGUAAGCCUCUUAGAUUCUUCUCAUGGAUUUCUAAUUGUUGCCUCUAAUCUAAGCUCUCUCUCUCUCUUUUUUUUCUCGAGACAGGGUUUCUCUGUGUUCAUAGGUUCAGAAGGCACAGCAAUUUCCUGUAUACUCCCUGAACAUCGUCUUCUUCCAUGAAAAGCCCUACCAAGAGUGACUAGUCAUUUCAACUGAUAGUCCCACAUUGAUACCUAAUUAUCACCCAGGCUAAAGUUUGCAUUAGGGAACAUUGUGGUGUUGUGUGUUUGGGCUUGUUUAUUAUGGUAUCUAUCCAUAUCAUAGCAUAUUUUCAUGGCUAUGUUUUGCCUAUUUGUCCCCCACUUCUCCCAAUCUCUGGCAAUUGCUGGUCUUUUUUUCUUUCUUUUUUUUAAAGAUUUAUUUAUUAUUAUACAUAAGUACACUGUAGCUGUCUUCAGAUGUGCCAGAAGAGGGCAUCAGAUUUCAUUACGGGUGGUUGUGAGCCACCACCAUGUGGUUGCUGGGAUUUGAACUCAGGACCUUUGGAAGAGCAGUCAGUGCUCUUACCCACCAAGCCAUCUCUCCAACCCCUGCUGGUCUUUUUUUCUGUCUCCAGAUUUUUGUCUUUUUAAAGAAUGCUAUUUACUUGAAAUCAUACAGGUACCCUUUCAGAUUGGCUUCUUUUGGUGAGUAAAACCCUUCUAAGUUUCCCCUAUAUUUUCCUCUCUCUGAGACAGGGUCUCACUAUUUAGUUCUGGUGGCCUGGAACUCACUAUGUAAACCAGGCUGACUUCAAACUCACAGAGAUCCACCUGCCUCUGUUCAUACUCAUGACCCAUGGGAGUUGCGGGA
rnacentral:lncRNA from 1 species